rnacentral:lncRNA from 1 species
UCUUUCUCUCUCUAAAACUAACCUUAAAAACACACUCUUUCUAUCUCUAAAGAUAGGGCCACUCUUAUGUUGGUGAAAAUGGCUGGAAAUGAGAAUAUGUGGAGGUUUCCUUUUUGAAAUUCUCGAUAAAGUUUCGGGAAACAAGGGGGGUGCGUAACAACUAUAAAUCAAUUUCAGUGGAAUUUUUUUGACUCUUUAGAGAGAGAGAGUGAGAGAUUUGUAAAUCAAUUUAGUGGAAUUUUAUAGUGAGAGAAAGAAGAAAGAAAGAGGGGGAGAAUUAUAGUUGGAUUUUUUGAGUGGUUGAGAGAGAAGAGAAGAGAGGAGAGAGAGAGAGAGAGUAGAAAGAGAAAAAGUUGGGAUUGGAUGGGACUGGGAUUCACUCUCAUCGGCUCUUAAAAAUCCACCUACUUCGCACCGCACACUCUCUCUCUCUUCUCUGGUUUUCGCCACCUCUUUCAUCUCUCUUUUUGGAGAUUUCUCUCGCUCCACUAUCAGAUCUCGGCCACCACGUUUAGCAGUGUCGAUACCCCAAUUCGCCACCAAAAUUAGCGGCAAUUUCCUCAAUCGCUACGAAAUUUAGCGGCGCAAAAGUAAAUCCACCACAAAAAAUACCAUUUGCAACCCCUUUCCCCCACCAAAUUUAGCGGCGCCACUAAACGGUCCGUUACUUCCUCCCGCCCACCACCAGAAACCCCCACUUCUACCUCUUCGCCCGUCCCCNNN